rnacentral:rRNA from 1 species
AGGGUUUGAUUAUGGCUCAGGACGAACGCUGGCGGCGCGCCUAACACAUGCAAGUCGAACGAGAGAGAGGAAGCUUGCUUCCUCAAUCGAGUGGCGAACGGGUGAGUAACGCGUGAGGAACCUGCCUCAAAGAGGGGGACAACAGCUGGAAACGGCUGGUAAUACCGCAUAAGCGCACAGCAUCACAUGAUGCAGUGUGAAAAACUCCGGUGGUAUGAGAUGGACCCGCGUCUGAUUAGCUAGUUGGUGAGGUAACGGCCCACCAAGGCGACGAUCAGUAGCCGACCUGAGAGGGUGACCGGCCACAUUGGGACUGAGACACGGCCCAG